UGAAAUUUCGUUUCUGUGAGGG
rnacentral:piRNA from 1 species